UGUGUAGGCGGAAAUGUAAGCGUUUUGUGAAAUCCCUCGGCUUAACCGAGGAAUUGCUUGACGAACUGCAUUUCUUGAGGCAAGUAGGGGUGCGCAGAACUCUUGGUGGAGCGGUGGAAUGCGUAGAUAUCAAGAGGAAUGCCGGUGGAGAAGUCGGUGCACUGGGCUUGUCCUGACGCUGAGACACGAAAGCGUGGGGAGCGAACG
rnacentral:rRNA from 1 species